UAUUGAACGCACGUCGCUCGUCCCCGCGAACGCACGAUCGCAUUACGGAACCUGUGGAUUUCUAGAUAUUCUAGUGAAGUGCACUAACUAAACAAAUAAAGUUGUUUUAUUAACUACUGCUGUGUAUGUGUGGAUUUGGCAUUUGGAUUUCAAAAGUUUUCAACAAAGUCUGCGCUGAAUAAAUAAAAGAGCCGUGAGCGGAGUGGACAUAAAGAUUGUGAGGCGACCUCAAGAUUAUGGAAAGAAACAAAUGCUCAUGGACACGUUACAUAUGAAAAAAGA